GUGGGGAAUCUUGCGCAAUGGGCGAAAGCCUGACGCAGCCAUGCCGCGUGAAUGAUGAAGGUCUUAGGAUUGUAAAAUUCUUUCACCGGGGACGAUAAUGACGGUACCCGGAGAAGAAGCCCCGGCUAACUUCGUGCCAGCAGCCGCGGUAAUACGAAGGGGGCUAGCGUUGCUCGGAAUUACUGGGCGUAAAGGGCGCGUAGGCGGACAGUUUAAUCAGAGGUGAAAGCCCAGGGCUCAACCUUGGAAUUGCCUUUGAUACUGGCUGUCUUGAGUACGGGAGAGGUGAGUGGAACUCCGAGUGUAGAGGUGAAAUUCGUAGAUAUUCGGAAGAACACCAGUGGCGAAGGCGACUCACUGGCCCGUUACUGACGCUGAGGCGCGAAAGCGUGGGGAGCAAACAGGAUUAGAUACCCCGGUAGUCC
rnacentral:rRNA from 1 species